rnacentral:rRNA from 1 species
AGGGUUCGAUUAUGGCUCAGGAUGAACGCUGGCGGCGUGCUUAACACAUGCAAGUCGAGCGAAGCGAUUUAAGUGAAGUUUUCGGAUGGAUCUUAGAUUGACUGAGCGGCGGACGGGUGAGUAACGCGUGGAUAACCUGCCUCACACAGGGGGAUAACAGUUAGAAAUGACUGCUAAUACCGCAUAAGCGCACGGUACCGCAUGGUACAGUGUGAAAAACUCCGGUGGUGUGAGAUGGAUCCGCGUCUGAUUAGGUAGUUGGUGAGGUAACGGCCCACCAAGCCGACGAUCAGUAGCCGACCUGAGAGGGUGACCGGCCACAUUGGGACUGAGACACGGCCCAA